rnacentral:lncRNA from 1 species
UUUCUCCUUCGCGUGAAUUAAAAUAAUAAUAAGACUUGAAAAUAAAAAUUAAUAAAUUGGAUUUGAGAGCAAAAAUAUUAAUAUGCAUAAUAAAGUUGAUUCAAUUGACAAGAGAAAAUGAUGGAUGAAUGGAUGUUGUUGGGGGUUCACAAUUUCAUCUAAUCUGCUCUCUCUUACCUACUCCUCUUGAAUAUUAGUUUGAUUAAUUAAUUGUUAUGCGACUUUCUUAGCCUCCCCUUAACCCGAUCCCUCGGCGAAAAGGGCCUAAUAUUAACUACUGGCUUGCUAUCCC